GUGGGGAAUAUUGGGCAAUGGGCGAAAGCCUGACCCAGCGACGCCGCGUGGGUGAUGAAGGCCUUCGGGUUGUAAAGCCCUUUCGUGCGGAACGAACAGCCUUGUGACUAAUACUCACAGGGUUUGACGGUACCGCAGGAAGAAGCACCGGCUAACUCCGUGCCAGCAGCCGCGGUAAUACGGAGGGUGCAAGCGUUGUUCGGAAUUACUGGGCGUAAAGGGCGCGCAGGCGGUUGUGCAAGUCAGAUGUGAAAUCCUUCGGCUUAACCGGAGAACUGCAUUUGAAACUGCAUGACUAGAGUACAGAAGAGGGAAACGGAAUUCCCGGUGUAGAGGUGAAAUUCGUAGAUAUCGGGAGGAACACCAGUGGCGAAGGCGGUUUCCUGGUCUGAUACUGACGCUGAGGCGCGAAAGCGUGGGGAGCAAACAGGAUUAGAUACCCCAGUAGUCC
rnacentral:rRNA from 1 species